CCCCGCCUGGCGGAAUCAGGCAGACGCGCGAGCUUGAGGUGCUCGUGCCGUAAGGCGUGCAGGUUCGAUCCCUGCGGCGGGGACCA
rnacentral:tRNA from 1 species